CUAUAAUAAGGGACGACUGAGGUCGGAUGAGGCACCUUCGUCCCUUGUUCGCAAUGUUUUCUGCUCACACUACUCCUGACAUCAGGCCUUGCCAGAAGAAUGGUCCACCAGCACACAACAUUCAUGAUUUAAGCGAUGUAGCGUGAACACAACUUCCUGGAUUCCCACUCAGCAAGGCGAAGGACAGCACUCCAACUCCCUGCCAAGACACCUUAUCUGUGCCUGGCAGCCUGCAG